GCAUGAGUUGUCUCGGACCAGUGUCUGCCGGCAGAUCCCCCGCCGUUGUGCGGCCGACUCCCGGCGCCUGUGUCCUAUCAACGUUGCAUGGACGGCUCUUACUUUGCUGCCUUACCGGAAAGUGCUUGCAUGAUGGUCCCCUACCAACGGGAAUCGGUGCGUCGUACAGAGUAGCCUCGCGGUGGACGCCUGUUGGCGUUCCGCUGCGGCCAAAUUGCGUUGGCGGCGUUGCCUCGUGGAGCCAUCAUCACGCUACGUGUUUGGCCCUACCAAGGACACCUCGCUCCCGCUCUUGGUCUCGGAUGUCGCUCAUAGUUGAGGCUCGUGGCCCUUCGGCGUCGCGUCCCUUUCGGAAGCUCACUCAAAGGACGACAGCUGCUCCGUUUGUGGCCGUUGCCAUGCCAUGUAAGUGGCUGGCACGUGCGUCUCUCGGUGUCGGCUUGUCGACGAGGACGUGCUACCUGGUUGAUCCUGCCA
rnacentral:misc_RNA from 1 species